rnacentral:rRNA from 1 species
UAAACGAAGCAGCUGAAUCCUGCACCAUAGAUGGUGAAAGUCCAGUAGUUGA